rnacentral:rRNA from 1 species
UUCUUAAAAAUUAAAGGAUUUGGCGGUAUUUUAGUCUGUUCAGAGGAACCUGUUUUUUAAUUGAUAGUCCACGAUGAUUUUUACUUUUGUUUUAAAUUUAUAUAUCGUCGUUUUUAAAAAUUUUAUGAUUAAAUUUUUUCAGAUCAAGGUGUAGUUUAUAUAAAAGUUAAAAUGGGUUACAUUGAAAAUUUCAAUUAAAUUGGAUUUGAUAGUAAGCUCUAAAAUAUGCACAUAUCGCCCGUCGCUUUCACUUUAAUGUGAAAUAAGUCGUAACAAAGUAGGCUUAUUGGAAAAUGAGCCUGGAAUGCAAAUUAGAGCUUGUUAAGCGUUUUAUUUACACUAAAAAGUUAAUUGUGAAAUUCAGUUUAAUUUGAACAUGUUUAAUUAUUAAUUUUUUAUUUUUUGUUUGUUUGAGAGAAUAAUUUUAUUUUUUAUUUUUUUCUUGAAAAAAUUUAAUUAUAGUUUAUUGUACUGUAAGGGAUUUUAUUGUGUGAGAAAAAGAAGAAUUUAUUUUUUGUACCUGGGGGUCAGGGUUUAUUAAUUUAAACUUCCCGAAUUUAGAAUAGCUAUUUUUAAUGUGGAAUAAUUAUUUUAAAUUUUUUUAUUGGAGUGAAACGUUAUUCGUUUCUAAAUAUAUCUGGUUUUUCAAGAAAUAAAUUUAAUUAAUUAAAUGAUAAUAAAUUUUUUUGGGGAUAAGCUUGGUAAAAAAUUUUUAAAAAUUUUGUUUUAAAUGAUUUAUAUAGGAUUAGAAUUUUCCAUUAUUUUAAGUAUGUUAUAUUUUAUUUAAUUUUUUAUUGAAAUUUAGUUUUUAACUAUUUUUUCUAGUAAUUAUGAUAAAAUUAGUAAGGUUAAAUAAAGGAACUCGGCAAAUAUAAUUUUCACCUGUUUAUUAAAAACAUGGCUUUUUGUUUAUGAUUUAAGGUCUGGCCUGCCCAAUGAUUAAAUGGCCGCAGUAUUUUGACUGUGCAAAGGUAGCAUAAUCAUUAGUUUCUUGAUUGGAAGCUGGAAUGAAUGGUUUGAUGAAAAAUUAUCUGUCUCUAGAAUUUUAUUUUUAAGUAAGAAAGCUUAAAUUUUAUAUAAAGACGAGAAGACCCUAUAGAGUUUUUUUGUUGGGGUGAUAAAUAAAUUUAGAAAACUUUAUUUUUUUUUGAUUUUUUGAUCCUAGAUUAUAAGAUAAAAUUACCUU